UUCUUUACAUAAAUUCCCAUAUGUGGUACAAAACUUCUCCCUUAUUUCUUUCUCCCGUUACUUCUCUCAUCCCUCUAAGGAGGUGGUAACACUGCUGUUGUGCCCCCCCCACCCAAGGCUGCCGUGGAAUAAGACUUGUUUGUUGAGAUGGGACGUCACGUGGGUGGAAACAGGAAAGUAACAACACCAUAAGACAUCAAUUACCAUGGCCUACACCUCCCAACAGCCAGUUUGGUGUGGUUUGCCUACAGGACUAUAUUAUUACUAGUAACACACACACUUGACCAAUAGGCCCAGGCCACAACAGCCAGCCCGGCACAGUCACCAAAAAGAUCAGACCGUUCACAGGACCCACCAACCACAUGCAGCCUAGUAUGGAAAGUGAAUAACAGAUCAUGCCGUUACAGUCACCAUUUGUUCCAAUAGAUGAUUAUUUUCUGUUCCCUGUGCUACACACAGCCCUGUAACACCACCACAACAAACACUUGCACUCACACACACAGCAGAACUGAAUCAGCACAGCCCCUCAGGAGAAGUGGACCUUCACGUGCCUGGCAAUCUCACCCUUAGUCAUGAAACGUUUCCCACAAACAUCGCACUUGAACCCUUUAUGACCAGAGUGUCUGAAGAGGUGCAGGUUCAAUAGCCUCUUCAGUUUGAAUCUUUUCCCACAAACUUCACACUCAUGAUUUCUUGCAUCAGUGUGUGUAACAGUGUGUACUUUGAGGGUAUCCUUCAGACUGAAACAUUUCCCACAAACUUCACACUCAUGAUUUCUUUCACCAGUGUGUGUAAGGGUGUGUCUGUUGAGGUUACUCUUCUCACUGAAACAUUUCCCACAAACUUCACACUCAUGAUUCCUUUCACCAGUGUGCGUAAGGGCAUGUUUCUUGAGGGUACCCUUCUCACUGAAACGUUUCCCACAAACUUCAGACUCAUGUUUUUUUGCACCAGUGUGUGUAACGGUGUGUGUUUUGAGGGUACUCUUCCGACUGAAACAUUUCCCACAAACUUCACACUCAUGGUUUCUUUCACCAGUGUGUGUAAGGGCAUGUUUCUUGAGGUGACCCUUCUGACUGAAACAUUUCCCACAAACUUCACACUCAUGGUUUCUUGCACCAGUGUGUUUUAGGGUGUGACGUUUGGGGUUACUCCUAUUACUAAACCUUUUGCCACACUCCCGGCUUUCAUGAGGUCUUACGCCAGAGUGUGUGGGUGUAUUUGUUGAGGUCAUCCUUCCCUGCAUGUCUUUGGUCAGUAAACUUUCUCUCACUCUCAGAUCUUCUCACAUUUCUGAAAUUCAAACUUCCCCCUUUGUGGAUGAAGAGGCCAGCAGUUGCUUUUGGUGGUGGUGGUGGUGUUGGUAGUGGCAGUGGUGGUGGUGGUGGUGGCAGGAGUGGUGGUGGGGGUGGUGGUGGGGGUGGUGGCAGGAGUGGUGGUGGUGGUAAUGUUUUUGAUCACUCCUGAACC